CACCCAGCUACAUUGCACAGGAUGUUUUACACAAUGGAUUUUUAUAUUACCACCCUUAUUUCCUUUGGUGAUAGUUCAAUUAUUUUGACGGAACAUAAGGGAAGGACCGCAUUCAACAAACCUCGAAUGACAUAAACACUGUCAGAUUAAAGCUAUUGUCGUGGUGAGACUCCUUUUUAUUGCCAACUAGUGGCUUUGGAAUGAAAAUAAAUACUUUUACUUGUGCUUACUGAUAAUGCACACAGCAUGAAAUGGUUGGGCAGAGAUGCUGGUAGACACGAAGCUUAAAUUUAUUCAGACUGAAAAUAUGCAUGUCACAGGCAAAGCAGCAAGAGGAAUCUGCUACGGAGAGGAUCAAACACAACACAGGAUCACCUAUUCUCUAUUGAUAGUAGAGUGUAUAUCAAGCAAAAGGGCCAAGGGUCGAAUUAAAACCCCUGCUGCAAAGGUCUUAGUGUGGCACGUGUGCUCUACCAGGUGAGCUGCAGACAUCACCUUACCCCUUUACCUGUUAUCUCACCUGUGGAGGAAGAAGAGGCAGGCGGAUGAAAGAGAGCAGCACCCCGAGGUCUUGUUGUCGUUGCUGGACGUCGUGCCGCACCCACAUCAUCAAAGCCUGGAAGAUGGUCUCCUCAUCGGGCACGUUGAUGUCAUCGCUGGAAAGCAGCUUAACAAUCUCAGCCGUGGGGAGCAGCAGGAACUCCUGGUUCUGAAUGACCUCCAGGAAGUGUUCCUGGAACACAGAGGAGAUGUGUAGGAGGCAGAUAAUAAUCAGUCAUUAGCUGAGGAGUAUGCCCGGGGCAGCGCAGUGUGAGUGUAGUUUUGUUUCUAUACCAAUGAGGACUAAAUGGCAUAAGGAACAGAGACAUGAAGUAAAAAGGAUGCAAGUAGUAGAGAGCUAAUUUAGAGGAAUCGAUCAAUAAUUGUAUAUAUAACUAACUUGAGCUCUAAAGAUAAAUUGACUAGUUGUCAACUAUUACAUUUCAUAUUUUUACAAGGUUAAAAAAGUGAAUAUUUUCUGGUUUUGUUUCUACUUUAUGACAGUAUACUGUGUUUACAUUUUUUGUCACAGCAAGUUAUUUAAAGACUCUAUUGUCAUGUUUGGCAAACACUGAAUGACACUGACCAAACAAUUAAUCUCUUAAUAGAGAAAGUAACUGUCAGAUUUACUGACAGAGAUAAUAACCAUUGGUUGCAACCCCACAGAUUAUAUUGAUGAAAUACACUCUAUUUCUUACACAAUUUGAAUGAACAGAUUAAACUCAUCUGGCUAACUAUAUAAAAGAACCAAUAUAGCACCGGGCUAAAACUCAAUCUGGCAUAAAACACCUCCAGAUAAAGCCUCUUUAAAAGCUUAUGCAACAUGUUUGCUGCUUAUUGUAGAUGAUACCAUUAAGCCUUUUGAUGAGAAACAAAAGGGCACCGCUCCCGAACAUUACCAUGACACACAUACAGUGUCCAGAUUUUGUAGAAGCCGGUUUCUAUUGCCUGCCUAAAGAUUGAUCUUCCAUUUACUGGCCAGUAGCCCAGGCGAUAUUACAACGCUGCAUGGCUACCUCUUCAAGGACAUUGUCUCUGGGCAGCUCCAUUAAAAAUGAUGCUAUAUUAAACACCCUCCUGCUUUUGCUGUAUAUGUUAUAUCAAACAUUAAAACAGAUGAAAGACAUAAAGAGCCAUCCGUGCCAUAAUCACGCAGUGAUUUCUUUUUUUAACUGGGCAGCUGAAUAUUAAUUAUCAAGCUGCCUGAAUAACUCUGUCUUGAUGCUCAAGAAUUACAAAAAAACAUGGAUACUAUUGAUCAUCAACGUGCAACAAAUUACAGCAAUCUAUUAUGAGAGAAGGUUUUAAGAGCUUAACAGAAACAGCCUUAAUGAAAUGAGGGACAUCUAUUGAUCUGUUGUGGUAAGAAGGAGGGAGAAAUGCCAUCCAACUCUUUGACGUUACUUUAGACCAAUUAUUUGUGAUUACCAGUCCUGAACAGCUGACAGCCAAAUUGAAAGCUCAACAGAGUGUUUCAAAAACAUUUAAAAGCAUGUGUUUUCAGAUGCUGGCAAACUCAUUGGUGGUAAACUGCUUGGAAAACAAGAUCAGCGGGGGAGGAAACUAAUUGAUUAAACUACUGCAAAUGAGUAAUUCUGUAAUAAGGUGUUUUCUGAGGAGGAAUGCUGAUGUUUAGGGGAGUGAAGCAGCAUAAUUACUGCUCAAGAACAUUUUAGUUACCAGACUAUUUGCAAGAGAUGGCCAAGUCAGAUUGCUAUAUUCUCAUAUUUUAAAAAAUGUACAUUAUUUUAUAACGUCUCAUUUCCAGUAUUGUGGCAUGUAACAUAAACAUGUGUUAUUGCUGGAAGAAAAUACUUUCAUCCAAAAAAAUAAAACAAUACAAUUUUGUACUGCAAUAUAAAAAGGGCAAAUAUUUCAUAAAGGAAAAGGAUGUAUGAGGCGGAUCUCAACUGUGCCUGAUCAUGAAAAACAAACUUAUCAAAACAAAACUUGCUCCACUCACAACUGAGAACGGACUUCCAGGAAGCCCACAGCUCUCGCUGCUCAUUACAGGAAUGAUUGAACAGGAAGUUGCCCCUCUUGUGCAGUUUGAUGAUUAGAUUAACCUCCUGGUCCUGGAUGGGAGCUAUGUAA